UGAUGGGGGAAGCUUGCUCCUCCUGAUCAGUGGCGAACGGGUGAGUAACACGUGAGUAACCUGCCCUUGACUCUGGGAUAACUUCGGGAAACCGUGGCUAAUACCGGAUACGAGAUGCGACCGCAUGGUCUGUGUCUGGAAAGUUUUUCGGUCAAGGAUGGACUCGCGGCCUAUCAGCUUGUUGGUGAGGUAAUGGCUCACCAAGGCGUCGACGGGUAGCCGGCCUGAGAGGGCGACCGGCCACACUGGGACUGAGACACGGCCCAGACUCCUACGGGAGGCAGCAGUGGGGAAUAUUGCACAAUGGGCGAAAGCCUGAUGCAGCGACGCCGCGUGAGGGAUGAAGGCCUUCGGGUUGUAAACCUCUUUCAGUAGGGAAGAAGCGAAAGUGACGGUACCUGCAGAAGAAGCACCGGCUAACUACGUGCCAGCAGCCGCGGUAAUACGUAGGGUGCAAGCGUUGUCCGGAAUUAUUGGGCGUAAAGAGCUCGUAGGCGGUUUGUCGCGUCUGGUGUGAAAACUCAAGGCUCAACCUUGAGCUUGCAUCGGGUACGGGCAGACUAGAGUGUGGUAGGGGUGACUGGAAUUCCUGGUGUAGCGGUGGAAUGCGCAGAUAUCAGGAGGAACACCGAUGGCGAAGGCAGGUCACUGGGCCACUACUGACGCUGAGGAGCGAAAGCAUGGGGAGCGAACAGGAUUAGAUACCCUGGUAGUCCAUGCCGUAAACGUUGGGCACUAGGUGUGGGGCUCAUUCCACGAGUUCCGCGCC
rnacentral:rRNA from 1 species